rnacentral:lncRNA from 1 species
CUGAUGUAUUAUAAAUUCUGUUUAUACAAACAAAAACUAUAGAUACAAAUACAAUGAAUGCACUAUAUUUGAAUAAAUAAAUUGUGGCUUUUUUUUAAUACAGGUUUAUGCUAUAUUGUCAAUUAAUAAUAGCUGAGUUGAGAAGGUCUUAAAUUCUGCAUAACUUUCUGUUUAGCAUGCCAACUGGCAAAACAAACACUCCGCUGUAGAACAGUACGCACUUUAGUUCUGGAAUGACGACUGUUUGCAACACAGAAAUCUGCAAAUAUAGACAAUUACGAGUGAGGUCCUUUGAAAAAGUCUUUGUGCUUUAAAAAUUUUUGUUGUGCACGCCAUGUUGUUGUGGUGAUACUACGAACUAAAACUGUUCUAACUUCAACACGAGAAUGGCGACCAUGAGAAGAGCAAAACUCUGGAAAGAAAUGAAUUGAAAACUUAAAUUAUCAGUCUUAUUAGGCAUGAUGUUUGUUAACAAUUAAACUGUCUAUUUAGAAUUUUAUAGUCUUCAUUUAACUCUUCAAUUCCUUUCUGUUGUAUC